GCAGUGGUGGUUUAAUGGUAGAAUUCUCGCCUUCCAUGCCAGAGACCUAGGUUCAAUUACUGGCCAACGCA
rnacentral:tRNA from 1 species